rnacentral:lncRNA from 1 species
AGAGGAAAAUUAGAUAGAGGAACACAUGCGAGACAUUAAUACGGCAAGGCUUACCACUGCUUUAGCCCAAGAGGCUUAUAGUGAAGACAUAACUAUAAGCUGGCGCGAUGUUAAGCAAAUAAAACCGAUACGGAAGCGCACGCAGCCGGUAGUAUCCGAAUCAUUAGAAAUUUUAAAAAGGUUACAGAGCGAAGAAUUAGUUAAUGAAAAAGUGGCUUGGGAGCCUCCACCAGCAUGGAAAUAUAUUCUAGAUAGCUUUAAAAGAAAUAACAACGAAAGGAGGAAUAGAUUAGGCAGUGGAUAAUCGAAAAUGAAGACCUUCGAUGAUGUUUGUA